rnacentral:rRNA from 1 species
AGCUAAUACGUGCAAUUGAGCCCUUUCACACCUCGAUUUUUAUCGAUGUGCUGUGAGGGCGCAGUUAUUAGGUCCGCAAACCGAGUAAUCGUGAAACGCAUGGGCGAAAGCUUUUUUGCGGGAGCGGUAUCUUGGUGCGUGGUGACUCCGGAUAAUAUUGCCAAGCGUUGAGGUCCAUACAUACCUACGCUGUACCAUUCGUGAGACUUACUUAUCAUGGUAUGGGUUGUAGUUUAAGGGACUACGACGCCAGUCACGGGUAACGGGGAAUCAGGGUUCGAUUCCGGAGAACGAGCCUGAGAAACGGCUAGUACAUCUAAGGAAGGCAGCAGGCGCGCAAAUUACCCACUCUUCGGAGAAGGAGGUAGUGACGAAAAAUAACGAUGCGAGACUCUUCCGAGGCCUCGCAAUCGGAAUGAGUUUAGCAUAAAUCCUUAAACAAGGAUCUAUUAGAGGGCAAGUCUGGUGCCAGCAGCCGCGGUAAUUCCAGCUCUAGUAGCGUAUAUUAACGUUGUUGCGGUUAAAAAGCUCGUAGUUGGACCUUCGGUCUAUUCCUUGGGGUACGCCUCGCGGAGCGCACUCCCGUCCGUAGCUACCUAUGACGCGAUUUGGAGCAGGGCUUGCCAACGGAGUGGUACCGUGUCACGUCUUUGGGAGGACUUUUUAGCGUGUACCUCGGUCUNANUAUAGUUCUCGCCUUUGCCUGUCACGUGUGCCUCUUAUGGCCUGCUAUCGACUCCAAUNGUUGGUAUGCAACGUCNNAGAGAAAUNGCNUUUCCNGGGUGGUUACGCCCCAAGGNUANGGGUUCUCUAUGNUCUGCCAGUCUCNCGGNAUNNUGCAUGCCUGAAUUUCAGUGCAUAGUAUGAUGGAACACGACCUCGGUUCUUUUGAUUUUCGGUCUCGGUUUCACAGAAUCGAGGUAAUGAUUAAAGGGGACGGACGGGGGCAUCAGUAUUGCGGGGCGAGAGGUGAAAUUCUUGGACCCUCGUAAGACUACCUAUAGCGAAAGCAGUUGCCAAGAACGUCCCUAUUAAUCAAGAACGAAAGUUAGAGGAUCGAAGGCGAUCAGAUACCGCCCUAGUUCUAACCAUAAACUAUGCUAGCCAGUUAUCCGCUUAGUCAUAUUACAAGACUUUGCGGGAUGCCCCCGGGAAACCCAAAGUUUUGAGUUCCGGGGGUAGUAUGGUUGCAAAACUGAAACUUAAAGGAAUUGACGGAAGGGCACCACCAGGAGUGGAGCCUGCGGCUUAAUUUGACUCAACACGGGGAAACUCACCAGGCCCAGACACUGUAAGGAUUGACAGAAUGAAGCUCUUUCUCGAUUCGGUGGAAGGUGGUGCAUGGCCGUUCUUAGUUGGUGGAGCGAUUUGUCUGGUUAAUUCCGAUAACGAACGAGACUCUGCCCUACUAACUAGUCGGUGGAUCGCAUCCCUAGUCGGCUUUAUCCCGUGCCCGGUGUUGUGGUCGAGGAUGCGUUUCGUAAAGUGUGUUUCCGGGGAGGCACGUGCCGAGUUUGUCGACCUUCUCGCUACGGCGGUUGUGUCGGCUUCCGAGCCGUGGUUUCCCGGCCUCUAUUACGAACGCUCCCACCCACUCGGAACGCGGACGAGUUCGUCUAGGGGUGUCCACCGUAUGUCUUCUUAGAGGGAUUGUCGGUUCAUAGCCGUAAGAGACUGAGCAAUAACAGGUCUGUGAUGCCCUUAGAUGCUCUGGGCCGCACGCGCGCUACAAUGGUGGUAGCAGCGUGUUUUCCUUCUCCGAAAGGAGUGAGUAACCCGUAAAUGCCAUCCCGCUUGGGAUUGGGGAUUGUAAUAAUUUCCCAUGAACGAGGAAUGCCUAGUAAGUGCAGGUAAUCAGCUCGCGUUGAUUACGUCCCUGCCCUUUGUACACACCGCCCGUCGCUACUACCGACUGCAUGAAGAAGCAAGGUCGUUGAACCGCUCCCUUAGCUCGCGUAU